GCAACAAAACUAGCCCGACCAACACACCAAACACACCAAACAACGCCUUAAACCAAACCAUUUGACAAGACUAGUAUAUGCGAUAGAAACCCUAAAAACGGAGCAAUAGUAACAGUACCGCAAGGAAACAGUGAAAGAGCAAUGAAAACCGCAACGCAAAAAAAAGCAAAGACAAACACUUGUACCUUUUGCAUCAUGGUUUAGCCAGACCACAACAGACAAAAUGACUUUUAGCCUGUCAACCCGAAACUAGGUGAUCUACUGCAAGGCAACUACAAGAGUGAACCCGUCUCUGUGGCAAAAGAGUGGGACGACCCGGCAGUAGAAGUGAAAAGCCAAACGAACCUAGUCAUAGCUGGUUGCUCAACAGACGAAUUUUAGUUCGACUUUAGAUUUCCUCACAAGCCACACAUUGCACCACAAUCUAAAAGCUAUUCAACGGGGGUACAGCCCCGUUGAUACUGGAUACAACCAAAAAUAGAGAGCCAGCAAAACAUCAAUUAAACCAGUAAGCCCUAAAGCAGCUACCAAAAAACAAAGCGUCAAAGCACAAUACAAAAAAUACCAAACAUGCGAAACAACACUCCUAUUAUUUUCCAUUGAGCCAUCCUAUAACAUUAGACGAACUAAUGCUAAAACUAGUAACAAGAAAACUUACUUCUCUCCGGCACACCCUUGCCUCAGUAACAGAAUAUCUACUGACAAUUAACAGACCACAACAGGCACAACAAGCACGACACUGUUGGCCCACACUGUCACACCAACACCGGGCUGCCACCAAGAAAGAUUAAACGGGGCAGAAGGAACUCAGCAAAAUAUUACCCCAACUGUUUACCAAAAACAUAGCCUUUAGCAACACAAGUAUUAAAGGUACUGCCUGCCCAGUGAGAGCCCUCUUAAACGGCCGCGGUAUUCUAACCGUGCAAAGGUAGCGUAAUCACUUGUCUUCCAAAUAAAGACCAGUAUGAACGGCUAAAUGAGGGUAAACCUGUCUCCUGCCCCCAAUCAGUGAAACUGAUCUUCCAGUCCAAAAGCUGGAAUACCAACAUAAGACGAGAAGACCCUGCGGAGCUUAAAACGAACUACUACCCCCCCCCCCCAAACCGGCCCUCCUAGUACAAAGUUUUAAGUUGGGGCGACUUCGGAGAAAAACAAAACCUCCGAGUACGGGGUCACCCAACCCCCACCUAGGCCAACAAGCCAAAACAAAAAUCGACCCAGUCACACUGACCAACGAACCAAGUUACCCCAGGGAUAACAGCGCCAUCCUCUUCAAGAGUCCCUAUCGACAAGAGGGUUUACGACCUCGAUGUUGGAUCAGGGCACCCCAAUGGUGUAGCCGCUAUUAAAGGUUCGUUUGUUCAACGAUUAACAGCCCUACGUGAUCUGAGUUCAGACCGGAGCAAUCCAGGUCGGUUUCUAUCUAUGACGCUGCCCUCUUCAGUACGAAAGGACAAAGAGAGCGGGACCCCUGCAACAAAGCACGUCCCACCCAACAUGACUGAACAAAACUAAAGUUAAACCAGCACCAAACGGCCCAAAACCAAGACAUCGGCUU
rnacentral:rRNA from 1 species